GACGAACGCUGGCGGCGUGCUUAACACAUGCAAGUCGAACGAAGUGGCGAACGGGUGAGUAACGCGUAAUCCAACUGCCCAUCAGAGGGGGACAACAGUUGGAAACGACAGCUAAUACCGCCUACUGCAGGAGGGGGUUGGGUCUGAUUGGAUGGUGGGCGGGGUAACGGCCCACCAAGGCGAUGAUCAGUAGUCUGUGGGAGAGGAUGAAAAGCCACAUUGGGACGGAGACAAGGCCCAGACCCCUACGGGAGGCAGCAGUGGGGAAUCUUCCGCAAUGGACGAAAGUCUGACGUGGCAACGCCGCGUGGGUGAAGACGGCCUUCGGGUGGUAAAGCUCUGUUAACGGGACGCGGUACUGGAAUAGAAAGCCACGGCUAACUACGUGCCAGCAGCCGCGGUAAUUC
rnacentral:rRNA from 1 species